GCGGGAGUAGCUCAGGGGUAGAGCACAACCUUGCCAAGGUUGGGGUCGAGGGUUCGAAUCCCUUCUCCCGCU
rfam:Bosea sp. Leaf344 contig_2, whole genome shotgun sequence.